rnacentral:rRNA from 1 species
UACGGGGGGGGCAAGCGUUGUUCGGAAUUAUUGGGCGUAAAGAGCGUGUAGGCGGCCAGGUAGGUCUGCUGUGAAAACUCGAGGCUCAACCUCGAGACGUCGGCGGAAACCAUCUGGCUAGAGUCCGGAAGAGGAGAGUGGAAUUCCUGGUGUAGCGGUGAAAUGCGCAGAUAUCAGGAAGAACACCCGUGGCGAAGGCGUCUCUCUGGGACGGUACUGACGCUGAGACGCGAAAGCGUGGGGAGCGAACAGG